CUCCAGAUAGCCCAGUGGUGAGGCUUUGGAUCGCCAAUCCGGAGAUGGCGGUUUCAAUUCCCGUUCCGGACA
rfam:Aedes albopictus isolate Foshan contig53206, whole genome shotgun sequence.